GAUGAACGCUGGCGGCGCGCCUAACACAUGCAAGUCGAACGAUUAAAGCACCUUCGGGUGUGUAUAAAGUGGCGAACGGCUGAGUAACACGUGGGCAACCUGCCCCUUUCAUUGGGAUAGCCACGGGAAACCGUGGAUAAUACCGAAUACUUCGAGACUUCCGCAUGGAAGACUCGAGAAAGCUCCGGCGGUGAGGGAUGGGCCCGCGGCCUGUUAGCUUGUUGGUGGGGUAACGGCCUACCAAGGCAAUGAUGGGUAGCUGGGUUGAGAGACCGACCAGCCAGAUUGGGACUGAGACACGGCCCAGACUCCUACGGGAGGCAGCAGUGGGGAAUCUUGCACAAUGGGCGAAAGCCUGAUGCAGCGACGCAGCGUGCGGGAUGAAGGCCUUCGGGUUGUAAACCGCUUUCAGCAGGGAAGAGGAGAAAGUGACGGUAACUGAAGAAGAAGCCCCGGCUAACUACGUG
rnacentral:rRNA from 1 species